rnacentral:piRNA from 1 species
UUCCAGGUCACGAGGCUCAUGCCAGUA